GAUGAACGCUGGCGGCGUGCCUAAUACAUGCAAGUCGAGCGAACAGACGAGGAGCUUGCUCCUUCGACGUUAGCGGCGGACGGGUGAGUAACACGUAGGUAACCUACCUAUAAGACUGGGAUAACUUCGGGAAACCGGAGCUAAUACCGGAUAAUAUUUCGAACCGCAUGGUUCGAUAGUGAAAGAUGGCUUUGCUAUCACUUAUAGAUGGACCUGCGCCGUAUUAGCUAGUUGGUAAGGUAACGGCUUACCAAGGCAACGAUACGUAGCCGACCUGAGAGGGUGAUCGGCCACACUGGAACUGAGACACGGUCCAGACUCCUACGGGAGGCAGCAGUAGGGAAUCUUCCGCAAUGGGCGAAAGCCUGACGGAGCAACGCCGCGUGAGUGAUGAAGGUCUUCGGAUCGUAAAACUCUGUUAUUAGGGAAGAACAAACGUGUAAGUAACUGUGCACGUCUUGACGGCACCUAAUCAGAAAGCCACGGCUAACUACGUG
rnacentral:rRNA from 1 species